rnacentral:tmRNA from 2 species
GGGGAUGCUUUGGUUUCGACGGGGAGAAGAUGUCGUGCGGUUGCGCUGUCGCACCUGCUCAUUGGGUGCGUUAUCCCACGAUGAGCAAACUAGUAAAUGCGGACUCCUACGAGUACCGUCUCGCUGCGUAAAUAAACCGGCGAGCAUCUGUCAGGAAUUUGUCUAAUGGUUCCGAAACGGGUGUCAACUUUAGUUAGACUGGCUGGUGCAACGAGUAGAGGUUGCACAAGUGAGAUUUUUUCUACUGGUCUGCCUGAAGCCCUGUCAAUCGGGAUGACGGCGGGCGAGAUUUAAAUAGGUUGACUAUGCAGCGUAGACGCCUCACGAAUCACUCUUCGGACGCGGGUUCGAAUCCCGCCAUCUCCACGA